UACGUAGGGUGCAAGCGUUGUCCGGAAUUUUUGGGCGUAAAGAGCUCGUAGGCGGUUUGUCGCGUCGUCCGUGAAAACCUGCGGCUCAACUGCAGGCUGGCGGUCGAUACGGGCAGGCUGGAGUUCGGUAGGGGAGACUGGAAUUCCUGGUGUAGCGGUGAAAUGCGCAGAUAUCAGGAGGAACACCGGUGGCGAAGGCGGGUCUCUGGGCCGAUACUGACGCUGAGGAGCGAAAGCGUGGGGAGCGAACAGG
rnacentral:rRNA from 1 species